rnacentral:lncRNA from 1 species
UGAGAACAGCAGAUACUGCCCUGUGGUGGCCUAUUCCAAGUUCUGGUGCACAAUACCUUAAAUAGCCUUACGUAGCUUUUCCCCCUCUGCAUAAAGGGAGAAGGGAGGAGGAUUUCCAUCACAACAGAGAGCCUAUGGGGGCAGCGUCAUGGUAGCACAUACAAGAUAGCUUCUGUUAUGGUGUCAUGGCCUGAUAUUAUAGUUUUACAUGAAAUAAUUUAUUAUACCUAGUCUGCUAUAUGAUAAUUUUACAGUUGGAAAAUUCAGAAACGAGAGAGAUAAAUUUAAUUCUAUGAUUUUCCACACAUAAAAGUUAAUGACCAUGGAAGGUCAAACUGUUGUUUUUUUCAAGACUGGGUACAUCCAACACUAAAUGCAUACUGCCCCCAUUUAUAUCACCUGCAGGAAAGCACUGGCUGAGUCCAGCAUUUUCCUGAGGAGGUCGGUGGACUUUAUAAGAGUGUCUGAAUGCUGCUCAGAAAAUAAUGACGGUAAGCCAAGAAGAGGUGGAAAUACCUGACUGUGAGAAGUGAUCUAUGAGAAAAAAAUCUGCUCUACAGCUGGAGAUCCUUACUUCCAGAAAGCUGCUUCUCUGAAUUUCACCCGAGAGGACAGGAACAGGCAUCAUUCUCCAUGGGCAGAAGCAGCUGAAAGAGCACUUGGAUGAGCUUUGCAGCCCCAUGUGGGACUGUGCCUGGAGGAGGAACAAUAUUACUAAAAGCAAGUCUCAGGUGACACUGAUGAUCCUGCAAUGGAUUGACCACCUCUGGCCACGUGUGGACCAAAUGGAUCCUUACAACGCUAAUGAUACAAAAGUGAAAGAAAGCUGGUAUUUGUUCAGUUGUGUUGAGAAAGACCGUGAGAAGACCUGAAUGGCAUUGUGCACUAGAACGUUUGAGUUCUUUGGUUCCAUCAUACUGUGAAGAAAACAUCUUGUAUGUAGAACAAAUAGUCUUUAGAGCUAGCCAUAAAACAAAAUAAAAAAAUGCAUACUUCUUCUUUUUAAUUUUUA